rnacentral:rRNA from 1 species
UACGUAGGGGGCAAGCGUUGUCCGGAUUUAUUGGGCGUCAAGAGCGUGUAGGCGGUCAGGUAGGUCCGUUGUGAAAACUCGAGGCUCAACCUCGAGACGCCGAUGGAAACCAUCUGACUAGAGUCCGGAAGAGGAGAGUGGAAUUCCUGGUGUAGCGGUGAAAUGCGCAGAUAUCAGGAAGAACACCCGUGGCUAAGGCGGCUCUCUAGUACGGUACUGACGCUGAGACGCGAAAGCGUGGGGAGCGAACAGG